UGCAAGUCGAACGAACUCUGGUAUUGAUUGGUGCUUGCAUCAUGAUUUACAUUUGAGUGAGUGGCGAACUGGUGAGUAACACGUGGGAAACCUGCCCAGAAGCGGGGGAUAACACCUGGAAACAGAUGCUAAUACCGCAUAACAACUUGGACCGCAUGGUCCGAGCUUGAAAGAUGGCUUUGGCUAUCACUUUUGGAUGGUCCCGCGGCGUAUUAGCUAGAUGGUGGGGUAACGGCUCACCAUGGCAAUGAUACGUAGCCGACCUGAGAGGGUAAUCGGCCACAUUGGGACUGAGACACGGCCCAAACUCCUACGGGAGGCAGCAGUAGGGAAUCUUCCACAAUGGACGAAAGUCUGAUGGAGCAACGCCGCGUGAGUGAAGAAGGGUUUCGGCUCGUAAAACUCUGUUGUUAAAGAAGAACAUAUCUGAGAGUAACUGUUCAGGUAUUGACGGUAUUUAACCAGAAAGCCACGGCUAACUACGUGCCAGCAGCCGCGGUAAUACGUAGGUGGCAAGCGUUGUCCGGAUUUAUUGGGCGUAAAGCGAGCGCAGGCGGUUUUUUAAGUCUGAUGUGAAAGCCUUCGGCUCAACCGAAGAAGUGCAUCGGAAACUGGGAAACUUGAGUGCAGAAGAGGACAGUGGAACUCCAUGUGUAGCGGUGAAAUGCGUAGAUAUAUGGAAGAACACCAGUGGCGAAGGCGGCUGUCUGGUCUGUAACUGACGCUGAGGCUCGAAAGUAUGGGUAGCAAACAGGAUUAGAUACCCUG
rnacentral:rRNA from 2 species